rnacentral:rRNA from 1 species
UACGGAGGGAGCUAGCGUUGUUCGGAAUUACUGGGCGUAAAGCGCGCGUAGGCGGCUUGUCGCGUCGUCCGUGAAAACCUGCAGCUCAACUGCAGGCUUGCGGUCGAUACGGGCAGGCUAGAGUUCGGUAGGGGAGACUGGAAUUCCUGGUGUAGCGGUGAAAUGCGUAGAUAUCGUGAAGGAAGACCAGUGGCGAAGGCGGGUCUCUGGACAGUUCCUGACGCUGAGGCACGAAGGCCAGGGGAGCAAACGGG